rnacentral:rRNA from 1 species
UACGUAGGUGACAAGCGUUGUCCGGAUUUACUGGGCGUAAAGAGCGCGCAGGCGGUCGUUUAAGUCGGGUGUGAAAGCCCCCGGCUCAACUGGGGAGGGUCACUCGAUACUGAUCGACUUGAAGGCAGGAGAGGGAAGCGGAAUUCCCGGUGUAGUGGUGAAAUGCGUAGAUAUCGGGAGGAACACCAGUGGCGAAGGCGGCUUCCUGGCCUGUUCUUGACGCUGAGGCGCGAAAGCUAGGGGAGCAAACGGG